GUGCUCACUUUGGCAGCACAUAUGCUAACAUGGGAACCAUACAGAAAAGAUUAGCAUGGACCCUGCACAAGGAUGACAUGCAAGUUCGUGAAGCCGUCCAUAUUUUU
rnacentral:snRNA from 1 species